UUUGAAGUCCAUCAAACAUUUAUUUGUGAAUUCUAUGACAAACAGGAGGCAGUUAUAAUAUCUUGGUUUACAAGCUACAUUGCUUGGAAAAAAGAAACCCCCCGACCCCUUUUAAAAAUCCACAUGGAUCAAAUUUUUCUCAUUUGACUUUGCUUGCUGUCAUUCAUUUGUUUUUCCAUUAGCUUCAAAAUGCACCUAUGUACAGAAGAAAUGCUCAAGUGUGGCGUAUAAAGGGAGAGAGCUACAUACUUCCACAGCGGACCGGUUCAGAUCCGCUGUUGACAUUCAGCUUUUCUCAAAUAAACAGAAGGACAGAGAGUACAAACCUUUUCCUUUUCUUUUCCAAUACAUGGGGACACAUUUCUUUACCAUGUACUCACUUUAUUUUGCUUUCAUUGCAUUCUCCUUUUAUUCGAGAAUCAAGCCGUUAUUACAAAAAAACAAGAGUAAGGUUAUAAAGCGAAUAUACAGGCAGUCUCUAGUUCAUCUAACAUUAUGAACAGCUAAGAAUUCAUGUACACGUUUUUUUUCCCAGCAUGUAAUAAUCAUAUGAAUGGUAUGGAAACAUGUUUAAAAAAAGUCAACAUGUCGCUUUGACAGGCUUGCACACGCACAGGGAACAGUAAGACUCAUGGUUUUGUGCCAUGCAACCUGUAAAAUCUGUCAUCGGCUGGUGAACAAACGGUUCUGUUAUCGGCUGAAAUGCCUCGUACUUGUAACCUGAGGGGGAGGAGCUAAUGUGACACCUGGCAGGCAGGUGGAAAGGCUGGAGAGGUGGAGACAACUGACCAGUGACAGCCGAGAGAAAUCUUUUAAAUUUUUUUUUCCAGAAAAUAGAACAUAGAAAAUAUGUCCACGUUGCAGUAAAUGACAGCAGAUGUGAGACGGAUUUCCAGCUCUGCUUUUCCACAUGUUGUGUUUGUUAUAAUAAAAAUCAAAUAUAUUGUCAAAAAUAGGACAAUAAAGUCGUUAUUACUGGAAAUAAACACAGCAGUUGCUUCACGUGUGCAAGUCAGUGAAAAAAUCAGUGUCUGGAUUUUUGUUCCAAGUCAAAAAAUACAGGCAGCUACUUGAGUUAGCAUAAAAAACAUUUAGCCAAAAUGUAAAAUUGGUCCAAAUUUUUACCCAUUUGGAGGUCUGGUCACAAAAACACUAAUUUCUAAGGCUGUACGCUCGACCUUGACACUGAGAUCCCUUACUGGUUUGCAACCUUUGUAGUGGAGGGACCUCUGAAGAUCUACUGCAAGAUGACAAAAUAAGACGUCUAAUCUGAAUUCCAGAUGCUUUUAAUCUGAUAUGUUGCAUGUACUGAGUUGAAACCAAAUAUUUGCAGAAAAAUAAAAGUCUUGAUCAAAUGGAGACAUCUUUGAAGAGAAAAAGGCACUAAAGUGACCUUCUCGUGAGACUAAAUGGUAGAGAAGCUUUAUUAUGUCAAAGAUACAUGACUAGUGUCCUGUGUUUUCUGAUGCCAGGUCUCAGAGCGUAGUAAAAAGUGUAAGAGGUAGAAAAGAAUCUGGUAAACUUUCACGUUUUCUUGCACGUCAGCAGGAACUUUGUAAGAAAAAACUCAGUGUUUAAAUACUUUCUGCACAGGAAUUGUGAAUAUUUUAACAGAAUGAUGCCAAAACUGGGGAUUCUGUUGUUUUCUUUUACGUUUGUGCCUUAUUUUAUUCAGAAUUUUCCAGUUUUAAAACAAAUAUAGCAGUUGUGAAUUAAGAUUAAUGGAUUAUUGUGACAGAUCUUGUAGCUCUGCAGUUCAUGUGAAAAGCAGAAGUGGUGCCAAGCCUAUUAUUAGCGCAUGAUAAAGGUUUCUUUGUGGUUUCAGAGUAUUUAUCUUCGUACGUAACAGGACAGACUGUGGGAGUCAUUAUUGGACUGUGGUCACUGCAGACAUGACUUCAGCCUCCCUGUGUUACUGUCUGCUGCUUCUCAGACGCUUUUCACUGCUGACUGUGAUUUUUGACAAAGACUGCUGCAGGCAUAAUGAAAAACAUAUUUGUUUUACCAUUUCUCUGAAGUGUCUAAACUAUCAUCAGUGUAGAUAUUUCUGAAAUGUUGCUGUAAAAAACUUAAGGAGUCGCAUUUUGGCAAAUCUAUAUUUCCUGGAAAUGACUGGAGAGGCAGCAAAGGAAUAGAUUAUGCUGCUGGAGUCUCAUUCGACUUUUUUCUGCUGUGAAAUUGCUGUAAAUCUAAGCAAACAACAGCUGUGUAGAAGAAACUACAGUGAUAUGCAUGGAUGAUGUUUAACUUCUGCAUUUUCAGUGGAGUUUUUCUUGAAAAUGUAGUAUUUUUCUAAGUAGGGAAGAGUAAAUUUAGACAUACAGGGCAUGAAACGAACCCGUAUCGCUUGUUAGAAAGCAAACUUUUCACUUCGUUAAACUGAGGUGAAUCUUAAGCUCAAGAAUGAACGUUUAUGUUCCUAAACCUUCUACCGACAGCACUGAAACUGUCUAUUUUAGCUGUUUUCCCCUUUCAAUUCAUGUUGGAUCCAGUUAAUUCUCCAGAUGUGGUUCGUAGAUGAAACUACAAAACUUUAAGCGACAGAAAUGUCACUGAAUGAGUAAAGAAAAGGGUGUGAACUGGGUUUCUGUGGUUUAACUCAUCAGAUCUUCAGGCUAUAACUACCUGUUGCGGUUCAAAAAUCAAACAGCCAGUAAAUAUCAAACCGGUCCAUCUAGAAGCUGGUUUCAUGUAGUUGGUUUUGGGCUGGAGUAAAGACAGACAGCAGCAUUUUAGUCUGUGGGUUUUCCUCAGCGUGUUAUUUAAACACACGCACUGUUACUGUAAUGCCCUAUUUUAAACUGCUGAGUCAUUAAAUGGAGCGCAGAGACCGAGAAACGCUGCUGGAAGAAGAAAUAGAAAUAGAUGGACGGACGCCUGGUUAAAGGGUAGAAAAACCCACAGCAGACUUUGCACAGAAGUAGCACCAUGACAACUAAACAGAAAGAAUAAAAACAGGCUAAUUUAUCAGCAAAAAAUCCAUAAAAAAUAAACCAAACUAAAAAAAAAAAUAAUUUAAUAUCCAGAAAUACAAUAUAACCCUCGAUAUAAAAAAAUGUGAAUAUAAUAUAUCCUCCUAUACCUGGUAACCAUGUUGUCCCUCCUUCAGUACAUUAUUGUAGCUUUAGUACUGCCUGAUUGUAAUUAUGUGCAUAAAAACAACCUUAAUUAUUAAAAAAAAGGCCUGCUGGGUUUAUAUGUGUUUUAUAUGGAGUCCAGUUUUGGUGUCAGCUGACUAACAGCGAACUAACAGGCACUUUGAUUGAUUAGAAAGAGAAUGACAUGGCAAACAUAUAGAUAGGAGAAUUAGAGUGUGAUAAAACCCUUCCGAAUAUGAUUGUUUUCAAUUUACAGUUUUCAAAUAAGACUCUUGGUGUCUUUGCAUUUGUG
ensembl:lncRNA